AACCGGCAGGCCAAGCCAUUUAUAACGGUAAUACAGUAAAGGAAGUCGUUUUGCUCUCAAAAUAACAUUAUAAGGUAAAAUUUGAAUGUGUUGUUUUAAGUCCUUAGAAGCUUUAGUCCGAAGCUGUGAAAUCCUUGAGGGAAACUGGGAUUAGAUACCCCAUUAUUCUAGGACAUAAAUAUUUUACCAGGGUACUACGAACAAUGUUUAAAACCCAAAGAGCUUGGCGGUGUUUUAGACCCCCCGGGGGAACCUGUCUCAUAAUCGAUGAUCCACGUUACACCUGACCCUAUUUAUUUUGCUUGUAUACCGUCGUCUUCAGGUAACUUCCAAAAAGAAAAAAGUUAACAGGAAACACAUAAGUGUUCUACGUCAGAUCAAGGUGCCAGUUUAUAGUAGGGGGAGGAUGGGUUACAAUUAAAACUCAUAACUACGAACAAGUUUGAUUGAAAAAUCACUUCUAAGGCGGACUUGGAAGUAAAAGUACUAAGACAAGUGCUUUGAAUGAGGCUCUGAAAUGU
rnacentral:rRNA from 1 species